rnacentral:lncRNA from 1 species
CGGCCAGACUGCCCACCACCGGCUCUGAGCUCAUCGGCUCUGCGGUCAAUCACUUCCCUCUGGAGCUGGGCAAGGCACUGGGGAAACGUGGGCCUGAGCAGGACUUUGCAGCCAAGGCCACUGGACUAGCUUGAGAGUCCUGGGCAGCAUCCAGGCACGGGCUCCAGGCCUUCUGCCCCAGCUCGAGGUGCCAUAGCAGGUGCCUCUCAUGGGAUUGGGGCAAGUGGCACAGUCUUGAGGCUCCCCCAGUCAGACCCUUCCCCCUUCUCCCCAGGCCAUGGUGGGCAGGUGGCCACUUCCGUUGCUGCCUGUGUCUGAGGACAUUGGCCCAGGGUUGGCAAGAAGAGGAAGGUGUUGCAUCAACAUGCAGCACAUUCACCUGACAAGGAGCUGGCCGCAGCCUCCGCUGCCAAACGGUGACGGUGCUGGCUGGUGCCCCCAGGAGCUGUUCACCACCUCCCGGGCUAAUGGCGCUUGCUGCCUGGCACACAGCAGGUGACUACACUGCAUGGCUUAUAAAUGUGGCCUCUGCCAGGAAAUCCUGGGAAAGAGCCAGGGAGGUGACGUUUUAUCCACGAGCCUGCUAUGGCUUAGCCUAGCCCUCCCCUAACUGUGACCAAGCUCUGGAUGAGACACAGACAACUACUGAGGACCUGCAAAGUAAGGAGACUGCAGGGCGGAGGCGGAACUUGGAGGAGUGACCUGCCGUGGAGUUUCUGGUUUCCUCCUUGUGGCUUUGUCUGGAGGGCAAGCCCCACUCUCAGAUCCACAUGGCAACACAAGCAGCUAAAACGCAGAUAGAAACCCCAACCUGGGAAAAGGAGUCCUACAGUCUCACAGUGCCACCCAGCAGUGCCAACCCAGCAAAGGUCUUGAGAACCACACUGAGAGAGGUGGGGUUUGGGAUGAACCUGGCUGCUAAAGUGGAAACAGCAACGUUCCCCGAGGGCUAGGACAGCACCCAGAGUCCACACGGUGUGCUCAGACGUAAAACAAAAUUACUCAAUAGACACAAAACUAGGAAGGUGUGAUCAUCCUCAAGAGAACAGACAAUGCUCAGAUGCCAGCCCCAACUGACACAGAUGCCUACAGCAGCCGCGGUAACUGCUUUGCGAGUUGCACGCAUACACAGCACACGCACACACACCUCAGAAAGGAGCAUUAGAUGAAAUGAAUAAUAAACCUCACAGAGAGGUAGGAAAAAAAAUAAACAAAUGAGUAUUUUUGAACUAAAAGAAUAGAGUAUCUGCAAUUAAAAUUGUACUGAUGGACUCAAUAGCAGAAUGGAGACAAAGGAAAGCCAGCGAACGUGAAGACAGAUAAAUAGAAAAUAUCCACUCCGAAGAACGAAGAUAAAGAGGAAAAACAAGAACAAGCAUCACGGGCCAGCUGGGGUCGUAUCGAAAGGCCCAGCACAUACCUGGUUCCAGAAAGCAAGGAGGAGGUUGGGGCAGAAAGUUAUUUGAAGGAAUAUUGGCUGAAACAUCCCAAGUCUGGUGAAAUACAUAAAUGUAAGCAUUCAAGAAGCUCAGUGAACCCCAAAGAAGAUAAACAGAAAGGAAAAUAGACCCAGACAUAGCAUCAUCAAAUUGCUGAAAACUGAAGAAAACAUCUGGAAAGCAGCUAGAGAAAAACAACACAUUUCGUACACAAAAGCAGUGACUCCAGUGACUACAGAAUUCUUGCCAGAAACCACGGCAGCCAGGAGACAGCAGAACGAUGUCUUUAAUGCAUGAAAGGAAAGGUUUCUCCUUGCAAGGUGUUUGUUCAUUUCUUCCAAGUUGUGGAAUAUAUGGGCAGAAGAUUGGACACCAUCCCCCUCGACUCUUUUUUCCCAUCUGUAGGGUCUGCGGUGAUGUCCUUUUUAGCCUCCAUGUUUGUAAUGAGGGUCUCUUUGUUUUGGGGUCAGUCUGGCCAGCAGCUUAUCAAUUGUAUUGAUCUUUUCAAAGAAUCAGCUUGGGUUUCAUUUAUUUUCUCUAUUUUCUGUUUUUGUUUUUUGUUCAGCUGAUUUCCACCCUGAUCUUUAUUACCUUCUACUUUCCGCAUGCGUUUUGUAAUUUAUUUUUCCCUUACUAGUUUCUCCAGGUGAAAGCUCCUAUCAUAGUUGGCAAGGGUUUUCUGUAAAGGGCUAGAGAGUAAAUAUGUUUGGUUUUGUGAG